UACGUAUGGUGCAAGCGUUAUCCGGAUUUACUGGGUGUAAAGGGAGCGUAGACGGCUGUGUAAGUCUGAAGUGAAAGCCCGGGGCUCAACCCCGGGACUGCUUUGGAAACUAUGCAGCUAGAGUGUCGGAGAGGUAAGUGGAAUUCCCAGUGUAGCGGUGAAAUGCGUAGAUAUUGGGAGGAACACCAGUGGCGAAGGCGGCUUACUGGACGAUGACUGACGUUGAGGCUUGAAAGCGUGGGGAGCAAACAGG
rnacentral:rRNA from 1 species